GGAAAUGUGCGUUUUACGUUUUUUGCGGAAAAACGCAUAUUGCGAUUUUGGCGAGAAAAUGUUUUUCAGUUUUUGCGAGAAAAUGUAUUUUUUUGUUCCGGCGGAAAAAUGUAUAUGCAGAAAAACAGAAUUUACGAUUGGAAAAUAAUAUUUUGAUUGUAAAAGGCCAUUUUGUCAUUUAUCAUUUAGGGCUGAACUAGAUGAAUCACCAUCAAGACUUACCUUCAUUUGGAUGAGAAUUUGAAAUGAGUUUUUAAAAAUUCAGUUGGGUGAUCCAUC
rnacentral:lncRNA from 1 species